ensembl:snRNA U6 U6 spliceosomal RNA
CUGACUGCCAUGGCACAUAUAUUAAAGUGAAAACAAUUCAGAAGUUCAACAUGACCCCUGAGCAAGGAUGUCAUACAAAUUCAUGGAGCACACUAUCUAUUA